rnacentral:rRNA from 1 species
UACGUAGGGUGCGAGCGUUAAUCGGAAUUACUGGGCGUAAAGCGUGCGCAGGCGGCUUUGCAAGACAGAUGUGGAAUCCCCGGGCUUAACCUGGGAACUGCAUUUGUGACUGCAUGGCUGGAGUGCGGCAGAGGGGGAUGGAAUUCCGCGUGUAGCAGUGAAAUGCGUAGAUAUGCGGAGGAACACCGAUGGCGAAGGCAAUCCCCUGGGCCUGCACUGACGCUCAUGCACGAAAGCGUGGGGAGCAAACAGG